GACGGGGGGGGGGCAAGUGUUCUUCGGAAUGACUGGGAGUAAAGGGCACGUAGGCGGUGAAUCGGGUUGAAAGUGAAAGUCGCCAAAAAGUGGCGGAAUGCUCUCGAAACCAAUUCACUUGAGUGAGACAGAGGAGAGUGGAAUUUCGUGUGUAGGGGUGAAAUCCGUAAAUAUACGAAGGAACGCCAAAAGCGAAGGCAGCUCUCUGGGUCCCUACCGACGCUGGGGUGCGAAAGCAUGGGGAGCGAACAGG
rnacentral:rRNA from 1 species